AAUGUUGACUCUGUCAAUGUGACAGAAUCUGCAGGGUCAUAUGUGGAAUCUUGUCCCUUUGACGCUGUCAAUGAAGAGGUUCCCUCUAAUGGGUCUUCCUCCAGCUCCUCUUCAAUGUCCAGGCGAUGUCUUUUUGAAGGUCUCUUUAUUGGUGUUGAUGAAAAAGACAAAGGGUCUACACUGGAUGUCCCGACACCAAAAUCCUUGCAGGACACAGCAUAGGCGUUUCUAGCCCAUUUUUGGGGGUGCUUCAGCACCCCCAAAUUGAAUCCCAGCACCCCUAAAAUUUAAAAGAUUUUCAUUUUUUGUAUCGCAUGUCCUUUUUUUUUAACAACCCAGAAAAGUGUAAAAAACCAUACAGUACUUGGUAGAUACGUUAUGUUUUAACAACAAAAAUACAGCACCCCUCUCUUGCCUCAAAAUGGUUUGAUCCUGCUCAACUUUCCCAACUCGGGCUCCUUUUGGAGCUAAGCGCUGCCCCAUAGAAGCUAAUGUGGCGUAGUGGUACAGACAGCCUCAUCAUGGACAUAAGAUUGUUUUUUCGAAGAAAAUAGCCAGGUUCAGCUGAAUACAAUCUAUUUGUGUAUGAUUGUCAGUCCAAAGAGGGAGAGAUGAAAAAGGGGGAGGAGAGGAGAGAGUGCAAAGUCAGGAAGAACCAGGAAGAGAACAAGGAGAGACUCUGGGAGAUGAGAGCGUGCAGACCAGGGAAAGAAAUGCUGUGCAUCACAUUUCAAAUAAAAGGCAAAAAAUAA